GUGCAUUCUGGGGUCAUUUUGGCUGUUGGUAGCUUGCUUGGCAAUUGAGCUUGGUGGGUUGCUACUAGUUGGGUGUCUUCGGGGAUGUCUACCGUAAAGGUGCAUGAGUGGUGUUUGGUUUGUUACGGGUGGUUGGCUCUUUGCUUGCGCAACAACUUCUACCUGGCAUACCUCUUCAGUCUUGUGUCAAUGCUUGUAUUGCAUUGAAUGCACGGUGGGUUUCUUGUGUUGCAUGCCUAAUUUAAUGGUAUUGCUUGAUGUAUUGGUUUUCCUUUCGUUUUGCAUUGCCUAUGCGAUGUGAGAUGAACCUUGAAGCAGCCUUUGUGAUCCACUGAUUUGAUGUAUAUGCAUUGAUUUUGUGGCCCAUUGAGUGUUGCUCGGUCUCAUGGAUAUGGAACCUGGUGUGGGCAUGGAAUCUUAAUGGUUCCUUGUUUGCCCAAGUUUAGCUUUUCUAAAACGAUUGUCUAUCAUGUGUUAACAUGCUAGACUACUUCGGAUAUGAAUGCUACCUGGUUGAUCCUGCCAGUAGUCAUAUGCUUGUCUCAAAGAUUAAGCCAU
rnacentral:misc_RNA from 1 species